AGAGUUUGAUCCUGGCUCAGGAUGAACGCUAGCGACAGGCCUAACACAUGCAAGUCGAGGGGCAGCGGGGAGGUAGCAAUACCUUUGCCGGCGACCGGCGCACGGGUGAGUAACACGUAUGCAAUCCACCUGUAACAGGGGGAUAACCCGGAGAAAUCCGGACUAAUACCCCAUAAUAUGGGCGCUCCGCAUGGAGAGUCCAUUAAAGAGAGCAAUCUUGGUUACAGACGAGCAUGCGCUCCAUUAGCCAGUUGGCGGGGUAACGGCCCACCAAAGCGACGAUGGAUAGGGGUUCUGAGAGGAAGGUCCCCCACAUUGGAACUGAGACACGGUCCAAACUCCUACGGGAGGCAGCAGUGAGGAAUAUUGGUCAAUGGUCGGCAGACUGAACCAGCCAAGUCGCGUGAGGGAAGACGGCCCUACGGGUUGUAAACCUCUUUUGUCGGAGAGUAAAGUACGCUACGCGUAGCGUAUUGCAAGUAUCCGAAGAAAAAGCAUCGGCUAACUCCGUGCCAGCAGCCGCGGUAAUACGGAGGAUGCGAGCGUUAUCCGGAUUUAUUGGGUUUAAAGGGUGCGUAGGCGGUUUAUUAAGUUAGUGGUUAAAUAUUUGAGCUAAACUCAAUUGUGCCAUUAAUACUGGUAAACUGGAGUACAGACGAGGUAGGCGGAAUAAGUUAAGUAGCGGUGAAAUGCAUAGAUAUAACUUAGAACUCCGAUAGCGAAGGCAGCUUACCAGACUGUAACUGACGCUGAUGCACGAGAGCGUGGGUAGCGAACAGGAUUAGAUACCCUGGUAGUCCACGCCGUAAACGAUGCUCACUGGUUCUGUGCGAUAUAUUGUACGGGAUUAAGCGAAAGUAUUAAGUGAGCCACCUGGGGAGUACGUCGGCAACGAUGAAACUCAAAGGAAUUGACGGGGGCCCGCACAAGCGGAGGAACAUGUG
rnacentral:rRNA from 1 species